AAUAUUGGACAAUGGGGGCAACCCUGAUCCAGCCAUGCCGCGUGUGUGAAGAAGGCCUUUUGGUUGUAAAGCACUUUAAGCAGUGAAGAAGACCUAACGGUUAAUACCCGUUAGCGAUGACAUUAGCUGCAGAAUAAGCACCGGCUAACUCUGUGCCAGCAGCCGCGGUAAUACAGAGGGUGCAAGCGUUAAUCGGAAUUACUGGGCGUAAAGCGAGCGUAGGUGGCUUGAUAAGUCAGAUGUGAAAUCCCCGGGCUUAACCUGGGAACUGCAUCUGAUACUGUCAGGCUAGAAUAGGUGAGAGGAAGGUAGAAUUCCAGGUGUAGCGGUGAAAUGCGUAGAGAUCUGGAGGAAUACCGAUGGCGAAGGCAGCCUUCUGGCAUCAUAUUGACACUGAGGUUCGAAAGCGUGGGUAGCAAACAGGAUUAGAUACCCUGGUAGUCCACGCCGUA
rnacentral:rRNA from 1 species